ensembl:snRNA U6 U6 spliceosomal RNA
GUGCUCAUUCUUGCAGCACAUAUGCUAAAAUUGGAAUGAUACAGAGAAGAUUAGCAUGGCCCCUGUGCAAGGGUGACAUACAAAAUUUGUGAAGUGUUCCAUAUUAAA